GCCCAGGUGGCGGAAUUGGUAGACGCGCCACCUUGAGGUGGUGGUUCUCAUUAUACGAGAGUGGAGGUUCGAGUCCUCUCCUGGGCA
rnacentral:tRNA from 1 species